AUUGAACGCUGGCGGCAGGCUUAACACAUGCAAGUCGAGCGGAGAUGAGGUGCUUGCACCUUAUCUUAGCGGCGGACGGGUGAGUAAUGCUUAGGAAUCUGCCAUUUAGUGGGGGACAACAUUCCGAAAGGAAUGCUAAUACCGCAUACGUCCUACGGGAGAAAGCAGGGGAUCUUCGGACCUUGCGCUAAAUGAUGAGCCUAAGUCGGAUUAGCUAGUUGGUGGGGUAAAGGCCUACCAAGGCGACGAUCUGUAGCGGGUCUGAGAGGAUGAUCCGCCACACUGGGACUGAGACACGGCCCAGACU
rnacentral:rRNA from 1 species